rnacentral:tRNA from 1 species
GUGGGUGUAGCUCAGUUGGUUAGAGCGCCAGAUUGUGGCUCUGGAGGUCGUGGGUUCGACUCCCAUCAUUCACCCCA